rnacentral:rRNA from 1 species
AUUGAACGCUGGCGGCAUGCUUUACACAAGCAAGUCGAACGGCAGCAUGGGCUUCGGCCUGAUGGCGAGUGGCGAACGGGUGAGUAAUGCAUCGGAACGUGCCGUGUAGUGGGGGAUAACACAGCGAAAGUUGUGCUAAUACCGCAUACAUCCUACGGGAAAAAGCAGGGGAUCGCAAGACCUUGCGCUAUACGAGCGGCCGAUGUCCGAUUAGCUAGUUGAUAGGGUAAAGGCCUACCAAGGCGACGAUCGGUAGCGGGUGUGAGAGGACGAUCCGCCACACUGGAACUGAGACACGGUCCAGACUCCUACGGGAGGCAGCAGUGGGGAAUUUGGGACAAUGGGCGAAAGCCUGAUCCAGCAAUGCCGCGUGAGUGAAGAAGGCCCUUGGGUUGUAAAGCUCUUUCGGUCGGGAAGAAGGAAUGGGUGCUAAUAUCACCUGUGACAGACGGUACCGGCAUAAGAAGCACCGGCUAACUACGUGCCAGCAGCCGCGGUAA